UGUCUGCUUUACGACAGAUUGCUCAGGACUUCUCCAUUUUUAACCUGGCGAAACUCGCAGAGAACUGGAUUGCGGUCUUCAUGUACAAAAUAAUUAGCUUUGCCAGCUGAGAGAAGCAGGCCCAAGAUCUUUUCUUCGAAGAGCAGGAAAGGAAACAUCGCCUUAAAACUUCUGUCAAGGGCAGGAAGACAUUCUUACCCGGCUUCGAAGAGACCAGACAGUCCUUCAUCAACUUGUUGGGACCAACAUGGUUGAGUAACUGCACCAGGCAAAGGUGACCAGACCCUACCUAUUUGUGUUGGCUCUUGGGGACAAUUGUCUCUGCUCACAGGUGUUUACAGUCAUUAGCGG